rnacentral:lncRNA from 1 species
AUGACCCAUCGGCGUUCUUCUAUCUAUUCGUCUCCAUUAUGCUAAUUUUUACAGCAUGGUCUGUGUUGAAAUGGAUGAAACCAAAGCUGAAGAUUAUAUACGACCUGGAGAGAGGCCGUUACAUCCUAACUCCUGUCAACCGAUGAUCCUGCUUGACUUCUGGAUGUAUGUCCCUGAAGAAGAGGUAGAUAGCUUCACACUGUACCGAAUAAUGAGUGAUUAUUGUAUCAUCCUAACUCCUGUCAACCGAUGAUCCUGCUUGACUUCUGGAUGUGUGUCCCUGAAAAGAGGUAGAUAGCUUCACACUUUACCGAAUAAUGAUUGAUUAUUGUAUUUGGG